UUAGAAAACGAAAAUUAGUAUUAAGUAAAUUAUUAUACUUUUUUUUGUUUAAGAAUUGUAAAAAGGAAAAAAAAAUUAGAAAAAGGAAAUUAUUGUCAUAUCGAACUCGAUCGGUUUCUAAUCUCGAUUUUGAUCUUAGAUUAUCACUCUAGCUUGAUCUCGAUCUAUUUCAUAGUUAAUGGAUGGUUGUGUUCGUCUUUGUAUGUAGUGAACCCGGAUCGUUUUCCUUCAAUUGGAGGAAGAAGAUCGCACCACCAAGGAGCUGUUGGUGGUUAUUCUCCUCCUCUUCGCCGGAAUGUCACCGUGCUUCCAGAUAAAGGAAACCUGAAAGAUGCUUCUUGGGAAACUUGAGAUUCUUCGUAUGGAACACGUUUUACUCUGCUUGCAUAUUUUUUUGCUGAACGUUAUAAGAGCAUGAUUAACCCAUAACUCCAUUUGGGUCUCUUAUUCAUUAUUUUAGUAAUUAAAACUAAUUAAGAAUCUUAGUUAAGAGCUGCCUUGAUUUUGGAUCUCCAAUGGUAAACUCUUAUUUUGGGGUUCUUAAAAAAAAAAAACUUUGUGUAUUAAACACCAUUAAGCACAUUCUUAUCUUA